AGUGAACGCUGGCGGUAGGCCUAACACAUGCAAGUCGAACGGCAGCACAGGAGAGCUUGCUCUCUGGGUGGCGAGUGGCGGACGGGUGAGGAAUACAUCGGAAUCUACUCUGUCGUGGGGGAUAACGUAGGGAAACUUACGCUAAUACCGCAUACGACCUACGGGUGAAAGCAGGGGACCUUCGGGCCUUGCGCGAUUGAAUGAGCCGAUGUCGGAUUAGCUAGUUGGCGGGGGAAAGGCCCACCAAGGCGACGAUCCGUAGCUGUUCUGAGAGGAUGAUAAGCCACACUGGAAGUGAGACACGGUCCAGGCUCCUACGGGAGGCAGCAGUGGGGAAUAUUGGACAAUGGGCGCAAGCCUGAUCCAGCCAUACCGCGUGGGUGAAGAAGGCCUUCGGGUUGUAAAGCCCUUUUGUUGGGAAAGAAAUCCAGCUGGCUAAUACCCGGUUGGGAUGACGGUACCCAAAGAAUAAGCACCGGCUAACUUCGUGCCAGCAGCCGCCGUAA
rnacentral:rRNA from 1 species